GAUGAACGCUAGCGGCAGGCCUAAUACAUGCAAGCCGAACGGCAAGUUGAGUAGCAAUACUUGACCUAGAGUGGCGUAAGGGUGCGUAACACGUAUGCAAUCUGCCCACAACAGGAGGAUAGCUCCCCGAAAGGGGAAUUAACCCUCCAUAGCACUAUUCGAGGGCAUCCGAGAAUGGUUAAACCAAAAGGGGUUGUGGAUGAGCAUGCGGUUGAUUAGCUAGUUGGUAGUGUAACGGACUACCAAGGCAAUGAUCAAUAGGGGAACUGA
rnacentral:rRNA from 1 species